UACGUAGGGGGCAAGCGUUGUCCGGAAUUAUUGGGCGUAAAGCGCGCGCAGGCGGUCUCUUAAGUCUGAUGUGAAAGCCCACGGCUCAACCGUGGAGGGUCAUUGGGAACUGGGGGACUUGAGUGUAGGAGAGGAAAGUGGAAUUCCACGUGUAGCGGUGAAAUGCGUAGAUAUGUGGAGGAACACCAGUGGCGAAGGCGACUUUCUGGCCUAUAACUGACGCUGAGGCGCGAAAGCGUGGGGAGCAAACAGG
rnacentral:rRNA from 1 species